rnacentral:rRNA from 1 species
UUACGGGAGGCAGCAGUAGGGAAUAUUGCAUAAUGGGCGAAAGCCUGAUGCAGCAACGCCGCGUGUGCGAUGAAGGCCUUCGGGUUGUAAAGCACUUUUCGCAGGGAGGAGGAAGGACGGUACCUGCGGAAGAAGCCUCGGCUAACUACGUGCCAGCAGCCGCGGUAAAACGUAGGAGGCGAGCGUUAUCCGGAUUUACUGGGUGUAAAGCGCGUGCAGGCGGUUGACUAAGUUGGAUGUGAAAGCUCCUGGCUCAACUGGGAGAGGUCGUUCAAGACUGGUCGACUGGAGAGCAGUAAGGGAAGGUGGAAUUCCGGGUGUAGUGGUGAAAUGCGUAGAUAUCCGGAGGAACACCAGUGGCGAAAGCGGCCUUCUGGACUGCAUCUGACGCUCAGACGCGAAAGCUAGGGGAGCAAACGGGAUUAGAUACCCCUGUAGUCC